rnacentral:rRNA from 1 species
UAACCCGCCACGCUUAGCGCGUGGGGAGACAGUGUCAGGUGGGCAGUUUGACUGGGGCGGUCGCCUCCUAAAGAGUAACGGAGGCGCCCAAAGGGUCCCUCAGAAUGGAUGGAAAUCAUUCGCAGAGUGUAAAGGCACAAGGGAGCUUGACUGCGAGACUGACAAGUCGAGCAGGGACGGAAGGCGGGCUUUGUGAUCCGGUG